rnacentral:lncRNA from 1 species
ACAUCACUUUUUUGUGUACGUAUAUGUUUAGUAUUUACUCUAUGCUGUAGUUUGUGACUAUAUAUACCCUAAAAAUAUACUUUUGAUUAAUCCUCCAUUUCUUGUUGACAGGUAUUUACAAAAUGGUUCACUGCUUUAUUAACAAAGCUCUGUGGUGCUAACUUGUGAGGCAAAUAUAUGUAUGUAUGUAUGUAUUGGGAAGUAAGGUAGAAGCACAGCAGAAAUCUGGAAUGGGGGCAGGAUCGAACCUAGGUCUCUUGUAUCAGUACACGAGACUUUGCCAACAUUACUAGUUGGCACACUCUACUAAUUUUAGUAUAUUUAGAUAUCUAGCUUUGAUGAUUGCAUUCUUUCAGUGCUUUUAUUGUUAUACCUGAUUACCUUAUUUGGACUCAUAUCAUGACACACCCAAUGGUAUGUAUUAAUUUUCUGUCAAUAAAUUAAUUAAAGUUAAGCUUGAAUAACCUAAAAUGCUCGAUAAGUGGAAAAGUUUGCAACCAUAUUGAUGCU